UCCCAGACCGAUAGUGAACAAGUACCGGUCCCAGACCGAUAGCGAACAAGUAGAGUGAUCGAAAGAUGAAAAGCACUUUGAAAAGAGAGUUAAACAGAACGUGAAAUUGUUGAAAGGGAAGCGCUUGCGACCAGACUCGCCCGCGGGGUUCAGCCGGCAUUCGUGCCGGUGUACUUCCCCGUGGGCGGGCCAGCGUCGGUUUGGGCGGCCGGUCAAAGGCCCCUGGAACGUAGUACCCUCCGGGGUACCUUAUAGCCAGGGCUGCAAUGCGACCAGCCUGGACCGAGGAACGCGCUUCGG
rnacentral:rRNA from 1 species